rnacentral:lncRNA from 1 species
AACCUGAAAGGAGUUCAGAAUAGCAAGGGGACUUCAAAAGUCACACCUGGAAGUCCGAUCCUCUCUUCAACAUGCCCAAUACAUGGUCAACCAGCUUCCCCUCAAGGAGCUCAAGAUGAGGGAACUCACUACUUUCAGCUGUUCAUCUGUGGGGAGAAGGAAACAGCAAGCCACUCCAGUAUCUUUGCCAAGAAAACCUCAAAUUGGAUCAUAAAAUGUCAGACAACUGAAAUGAUGAAACAACAACAAUCAACUUGGCAACUGUGUGGAGGAUGGAAUAGUGAAGGGAAAAAUUGGAAUCUAGAAGACCAAGAAGACAACUGCUAUUGUAAGCCAGAAAAAAAAAAGGUAAUGAGGACCUCAAUUAGGAAAAGACAUGUGAAUUGGGAGAAGGGAAUGGAAUACAAAAGGCAGCUAUAUAUUUUUUAAGCACUACAAUAAAACAAAAAGAUAAUAAUUACA